rnacentral:tRNA from 1 species
CUCCCUGUGGCUCAGUUGGUAGAGCAUGGUGUUUGCAAUGCCAGCAUGGUGUGUGCAACGCCAGGGUUGUGGGUUCGAUUCCCACGGGGGGGC